AGGGGCAGCUGCAGGCAGGAGGGCAGGAGGAUUUGAGCAGCUGGGCUAAGGUCAGGCACAGAGGCUUGGGCUCAGCAGACAGCCAAAUGCUCGGCCCAGCUGCUACUGCCUCUUUCUGGGCCCUGUGCAGGAGGCAGACGCUGGCUGCCAGGCUGGCGGGCUCCCCUCCACGGCUGCAAGGCCACCCAGGCCCAGGGGUCUGCUCUUCCCUCUCCUCCUGCUGAAUGGCAUUCUUUCCUUUUCUUUCUCUGUCUCCUCACUCUCCCUUUCCUUCUAUUCCUUUUCUCCCUCAUCUCUUUGUGUCUUCAUUUCUGUCUUUGUCUUAUCCUAUGUCUCUCUUCUUUGUAUUUUUUCCCUCCCUCUCUCAGUUUCUUGGCCUCUCUUCAUCUCUCUGUCUCUGGGUUAAAAGUUGUAGGAAAAGGAUAGGAGGUGGGGCCCAAGAGGAAUCCCAGAUGAAACUGAGCUGAGCUCCUACUACGAUUUCAAUGUCUGUGUUUCCCCAAAAUUUAUAUGUCGAUCCCUAAUCUCCAGUGCAAUAGUAUUAGGAGGUGGGGCCUUUGGAAAGUGACUAGGUCAUGAGAGUGGAGCCCUCAUGAAUGCAACCAUAAGAGAGGCCUGAAGGAACUGUUUGCACCUUCUGCCAUGUGAGGUCAUAGCUACAAGGCGCUAUCUAUGAAUGUAUGAACAAGAAAGUGGGCUGUCAUCAGACAUCACACCUGCCACCACCUUGAUCUUGAACUUCCAGCCUCCAGAACUCACCUGGCAUGACAGUAAAUUCAUGCAUAAAUGCCCAAGGUCACAGAGCUGGGAUGAGAACCCAAGGCCUUCAGAAUGUCCAUCAAACUGUCGCUUCCUGACCUCUCGAAAUCACAGAAGCAAGAUCAGAUUCUAGGACUGAAAGGGGAAGAAACAGAAUGUAAGUCCAGUGCCCCAGGUUAACAGAAGAGGAAACAGAGGCCCAGAUAGGGCAAGACCCAUGUCCAAGCCCACAGAAGCAGUUAGUUCUGGCCGAGCCAGGCCCGACUCCCUGCCCAUCCUCCUGUAGUCUUAUAAAACUCAUCCCUUUGCUACCUGCAGGGGACUAAGGGAGUGCCUCUCUCUGGCUGCAGCUGGGUGGUUUUGUAGAGGAUGUGGCUGAGAGUUCGUCAGCUGUGGCCCCACUCAGACAGCUCUCUGUCCAUGGGUGGCUUUGUAUUGGAGUGUGCUAUCAAAGGACUUGACCUGGAUCGAACCAAUGGCCAAUUACGCCUUCCUGUGGUGCACUGAGCUGAGCUUACUCAAGGCUGACAGGCUGAGGGGGUAAACAACAGUGCAUGGGCAUGCCAUCCAAAUCACCCUACCUAUCCAAGCCUGGCGUGCAGCCAGGCAUCCAUUAGCUGUGUUACUCACUGGCUCUCCUUCAACCAUCAUUAGUCUCUCUGUUGUAAACAUGAGAAAAAAUGAAGUUCAGAGAGGAGAGGUAAGCAGCCUUAAGUUACACAGCUGGUAAGUGGAUAAACCAGGAUGCCAAGCCAGGCCUGCUGGAAUGCAAACCCAUACUCUCCCUGCUUUACAAAAAUCCCUACAUUCUGCAAGAGAGGCACUGAGUCUCCUCAUCUAGCACCUGUCUGUGGGGCCUCACUUUCCUCAUCUGUGAAAUGGGUGGGGUAUGAGAAAAGUACUCACUGGCCAGCCAGGACAAGGCACGAGUGGCAGCCAGGCUGGGGGCUGAAAAGAAUGGGAGCCAAGUCAAGAGCUCUCCCAUCAUUUCCAAGGGCACAGUAUUAACUCCCACAUUUGCCCAUCAUUUGUUCAAGCAAAACCUUGUUCACCAAGGCCCAGUGAGGGUCUGGAUGCCCAGAGGAGACUUUGGUCUGGAAGGAGGAAAUACUCUUUCUAUACCCAUAAAACCAGUGAGCACAGAAAAACAUGCCAGGUGCAAUGUUCCCUGGCAAUGUCUCCCAGAAAAUUCCAAAUCCUUCAGUGCUUGGUGAAGGGAAAAGCAGAUUUUGUGGAUAAUUGCUUUAGGAAAACCCUGAGUUGAAUGAAGCUCAGCAGAUGACUGCAGGACUUUUCAGAGCCUUUAAAAUGCUAACAAGCUUUCUAGUUCACCAAGAGAAGUGGAAUGUUUUCGAAACAUACUUGAUCAUGCAAAGUGUUUCAGAGCAUUUCAGAAGAACAAUGCCUGUGUUAUACCCUUUAGAAAACCCUGUGCUGGGGAAGAGGAAAGUAGGAAGAGCUACAGUAUAUAUUUAAUUUACGGUAAAGAGGCAAGUAAAUUAGAGGAGGACAUAUAUUGCCAAAUGAGGGGACAGCUUUUUCAGAAAUGUGGCAUUAAAAAUGCACAGGCUUCCCUCUCCCUCUCCCUCUCCCUGCCCUCUCCCUCUCCCUCUCCCUGCCCUCUCCCUCUCCCUCUCCCCACGGUCUCCCUCUCCCUCUCUUUCCACAGUCUCCCUCUGAUGCCGAGCCGAAGCUGGACUGUACUGCUGCCAUCUCGGCUCACUGCAACCUCCCUGCCUGAUUCUCCUGCCUCAGCCUACCGAGUGCCUGCGACUGCAGGCGCGUGCCGCCACGCCUGACUGGUUUUCGUAUUUUUUUGGUGGAGACGGGGUUUCACCGUGUUGGCCGGGCUGGUCUCCAGCUCCUAACCGCGAGUGAUCUGCCAGCCUUGGCCUCCUGAGGUGCCGGGAUUGCAGAUGGAGUCUGGUUCACUCAGUGCUCAAUGGUGCCCAGGCUGGAGUGCAGUGGCGUGAUCUCGGCUGGCUACAACCUCCACCUCCCAGCCGCCUGCCUUGGCCUCCCAAAGUGCCGAGAUUGCAGCCUCUGCCCGGCCGCCACCCCGUCUGGGAAGUGAGGAGCGUCUCUGCCUGGCCGCCCAUCGUCUGGGAAGUGAGGAGCCCCUCUGCCUGGCUGCCCAGUCUGGAAAGUGAGGAGCAUCUCUGCCCGGCCGCCAUCCCAACUAGGAAGUGAGGAGCGCCUCUUCCCGGCCGCCAUCCCAUCUAGGAAGUGAGGAGCGUCUCUGCCCGGCCGCCCAUCGUCUGAGAUGUGGGGAGCGCCUCUGCCCCACCGCCCCAUCUGGGAUGUGAGGAGUGCCUCUACCCGGCCGCGACCCCGUCUGGGAGGUGAGGAGUGUCUCUGCCCGGCCGCCCUGUCUGAGAAGUGAGGAGACCCUCCACCUGGCAACCGCCCAGUCUGAGAAGUGAGGAGCCCCUCUGCCCGGCAGCCGCCCCGUCUGAGAAGUGAGGAGCCCCUCCGCCCGGCAGCCACCCCAUCUGGGAAGUGAGGAGCGUCUCCACCCAGCUGCCACCCCGUCCGGGAGGGAGGUGGGCAUAUCAAUCACAGUGGUCCAAUGAGCCUUGAGCCAGAACUUCUGCUGGGAUUACUGGAAAAAAAGCUCAUUUAUUGCCAGAGUUCCUGCAAGCUUGGAGCUGCUAGAGGCCAUCUUUGCAACCUCGUGGGGAGAUCUUUCGGGAAAAUGAAACCAUCACAAAGGGACCUGACAAGCCUCCAGUCCAGCUCUGUUCCAAAGCCUUCCAGACUCCCUGAUGUCUGCAUUUGCAUGGAAUCCAAUCUUCUACACAACCCCCUCACCUCCAGCCCAGCCCUUUCUUCAAACCCCCAGCCUAGGUAAAUAGCAAAUAACCCUCAUUAACAUUUCCUAGAUGUUGUAUUCUGCUCUUUUCUGUUGUAUAAAACAUGAUACAAAAGACAGCCCAAAAAGAAACAAAACGCCCUGCUUGUGUGUUAUUUACAGCAGGCCUCUUCUAAUCUAAUCAUCUUUCUUCUUCCCCCCACCCUCUCCCCAGCCCACUGCAACUUUGCAGGGUUUUAUGAAAAUGAACACGUUGUUCAUGCAGCCGGACUCCCUCCCUUGCAGGCCUCAGCAUAAAUAAUUUAUCUGAAAGCUGAUUUGGUUGGCUACGCUUCCAUAAUUGAAGGCCGUCCCACACACUUUAUUGGCGAGCACGGGGGCCCAGUCGCUCGGGUGCACUGACCCCGGAUGGAGGGAUUCAAAGGCCCACCAUGGGCCCCUUCAAAGCCCUGGAGGCCCUUCUUCUUGAUGUCCACUCCCGCCCUCUCCCUCUUCAGCAGGCCCAGCCCCCUCAGCCCUCAAUCUGUCAGGAGACUGAGCUGCCAGGCUCUUCCGUCCAUCCUUAGCUGGUUGCAGGCUGGUCCCUACCUGAUGAACUCCCAUCGCCCUGCACAGCCCUGCCUCUGCACCAUCCCGCCUGUCUGGCAUCCUCUGAGCCCAGGUGACCCCGGAGUGUCUCCCAGGGCUGGCCCAUGGGGGAGUCUGGGACUAGCCCUGGGGCACAGGAUAGGCCUGGAGACCUCCCAUUUUAAACAUUAAGGAGAGGCUGGAGUAAAGUGGUCUAUGCCCUGUCUCAUGCCCUUGAGCUUCAAGGGGUCCUAUGCUCCUGGCAAUGCCCCAGUGCCUUCUUGGCUCACAGAUCAUCUCCCUUGCAGACCACCAGCACCUCCUUGCCGCACUUCAUUUAGUGGAGGACCUUGCUGAUCUUGAGAACUUGCAUAUCAGCCCGUAGCACUGUGCACCAUACACUGCCCCUCCUUCUGGCUGGGGACAAGUCCUCUGCUUGCCCACUCCACCCCAUCUUAUCUUGACUUCCCCAAAGACAAAAAUCUCCAGGAAUCCUCUUGCAGUUAGCCUGCAUCAUCAAUUUUCUUCUCUCCUGGAAUUUUUGUCAGGUAUAAAGAUGCAGAUAGCAUGGUGGCUAAAGCAGAACCUCAGAGCCAUGUGACUGGGGUUCAAAUCCUAGCUCUGCUCCUUAACUGCAGUGUGACCUUAGGCAAGUUACUUAACCUCUCUGUGCCUUAAUUUCUUCAUCUGUAAAUUGGUAAGCAAAAUAGUAACUAACUCAUAGAGUGCUUGGUGGAUUAAACGAGUUAAUAUAUACAAGGUACUUAGAACAAUGUCUAUCCAUAGAAAGUGUACAAAAUGCUUCCUAUCAAUAUUAUGCUGAAAAUAAAACUCUUUACCCCACCUCCCUCUCCAGCUAUCAUCCCGAUUUUCCUGCUGCCCAUUUGUAGCAAACUUCCUACAAAGGGAUGUCUACAUGCCCUGUUUACAAUUGUUCUCCCCUGCUUCUCCCUUGAGCCCCCUCCCAUCAGGCUUUCUCACCCUCAACACUGCUCCAAAGUACUUCUCAUCAAGAUCACAGUGGCCUUCAUGGUGCACAGUGCCAUACUCAGUUUUGAGUCCAUUCUGUACCAAACCCGUAGCAGGUACUUGACACAGAGAAUCAGUCUCCUCUUCAUACAUGGUCUUCACUUGGUCGAUGACACUGCUCCCUCAUGAUGCUUCUCCUUCACCUUCUCUUUCUCCUCCUUCUCCCUGGCUUCUCAUUCUCAGUCUCUUCUACUAGAUAUCCCUGACUUCCCGACCUCUACAUGUUGGAUGCCACAAGGGCUCAAUGCUAUGAACUCUCCACUCCCUGGGCCAGUGCUAUUCAGUGGAGAUACAACACGAGCCACUGAUGUAACUUUGAAUUGUCCAAUAGCUACAUUUAAAAAGUACCAAUGAACAGGUAAAAUUAAUUUUAAUAAUAGAUUUAAUCUAACCCAAUAUAAUCAAAAUAUUAUCAUUGCAACAUGUAAGCAAUAUAAAAAUUAUCAAUGGGAUAUUUUACUUUUUUUUUCUAAAUCUUCAAAAUCUGCUGUGCAUGUUACCCUUUCAUGCAACAUGACCCCUGCAGACCAGCCAUAUUUCCAGUGCUCAGUAGCCAAGUGUGGCUGGUGGCUUCUAGAUUGGACAAGACAGCCCUAGGGGAUCCUCUCCAUCCUCACUGUGUGAAUGUCAUCUGUAUUACCAGGACACAGAAAUCUUUUUCACCAGUCUGGAGCUCUCUUUUGAACUCCAGAUUCUUGUAUACAUUUGGUGCCCCAAAGACACAUCAAACUUCAAAGGGAAUAUCAUGGGGUGGGCCGGGUUUGCAACUUCAUAUAGCAUGACCAGGGAAGGACCCUGGGAGGAAAUGGUAUUUGAACAGGGAUCUGAAGGCAGGGAGGAAAUGCGCUCUGUAGCUGUCUUGGGGAAAGCCCAGUGGGCAGGUAAAAGGGCAAGUACACCCAUCUUGAGCCGGGAGCAAGCCUGGCAUGUCCCAAGAACAGGAGGGAGGGGGCUGAGCUGGGAGAGAGUGGCGAGGCGUUGACUCUUGGCCUGUGUGAGUCAGGGAAGUCAUGGGAGUAAGGGUGGAGGAAUGGCAAGUUCUGAUGUCUAUUCUAAAAUGAUGCUGUGGUUCAGGGUAAAGAAACAACCAGAGGGCCAAGAGUGGAAGCAGGGAGGUGAGGCAGGAGGCUGUUGCAGUGGCUCUGGGAGAGGUGGUGGAAGCGUGGACAAUGCCGUGGAGGAAGGAAGACACCUACGCUUGGAGGCUGGAUCUGUUUGUAAGAUGCAGGCCACAGGGAUUGGUGAAGAAUUGGGUGUGGGCUUUGAGAGAACCAGAGGAGUCAGGGUGAUUCUAGAGUCCUUAAAGGAUGGUCAGGUUCCAGUAGCCUCUGACUGAGGAGGUAAGAUGCAGAGGCCUGGCUGCCAGAGCCCCACAUGAGAUGACGCUGAGGAGCUAGCUGAGUUCCAACAACUCUGUGGUGUCAGCCAAGCCACAUCACAGCUCCACCUCUCCCCUGCCCCAUCCUGCCUCCCUCCCCGUUUCCCACAGGUGUUUGUCUCAAGGCAUUCCUCUUAAGCGUCCUGCUUCAUAAACUCCUUCUGAGAGUCUGCUUCCUGGAGAGCUCAACCUUCACCACUCACCCCCAAGAUCCAACUCAUAAAUUCUCCUGGACACUGCGAUGAGGCAGCUGGCUUUCUCCCUGGCACCAGCCCCAAGGGAGCCAGCCUUUGCCUAUAAUUGAUUCCUGGCCCUGACCCCCUCCUCCUGCCAGAGGCCCAUGCAGCCCAGAGGCUCCAGUGGCAAUGACCAUGUUGAGAUGCUUAAAUCCUGCCAUCUUGGCUUUUUCCAUUAUUUUUUAAACCUUGGGGGCCAUGGUAUCCAAGGUCCAUAGACACUGGGUGGCCAGUGAUAAGAGGUCCCUGUCACUCUGCCCCAGGAACAACUGACACCAGGCCUGGGCAGCCCUUCUUCCCCCUACAGGGGCCCUUGCUCCCUUUUGUCUUGACAAGAGGCCCCACCUCAUCCCAAGAGGUGCAGGAGGCCAGACUUUGCAGAGUAGCUGGCCAGAAUCAAGAGACCACAAUGAAUUUGUUUCUAAUGAUCGCUCCUUUUUGCUCCACCUGAGAUUGCCAGUAGAAGGGUCUGUUAAGACAAAUCUGAGUGAGUCGUUGCAUCUGGGAACCUGUACUGUCUCCUGAAUGUUCUCAGGUGAUAGCCCAAACCUGUGCUGAGAAAAGAAAUAAAGACAAGAAAGUUAGACAGGGCCCUCACUGGACAGAGGAUAACUGGCCAGCCCAACACUCCAGAUUUCAAUUUCCAUUGAGACUAAAGGGCCAUAGCGUAGGAGCAAUAGGCAGCUGGGCCGGAGUGGCCUCAGUGAGUCAAUGCAGGGAUAUUCACUGAGCAUGUAGCUUGGGCCAGGGACUGCUUAAAAGGAAGCUGCUGGGGGAACACCGACCAUGGUCCUCAGCAGAGCAGGAAGCUGGGAUCCCAGGAGCCAUGGCAAGCUCCAGAUGAGAAGUGAGUACAAACUUGCAGAACAGACAAAGAGUGAGGAAGUGGAGGCUAGGUCAAAAAGCGGAGAGUAAAGCAGGCUUCUGUCCUUCAAGGCCCAGCCCAGAAGACCCUAUGCCCAGUGAUAUAAGAUCCUCAUCACUCUGCCCCAGGAACAACUGGUAUGAUCCAUGAGCAGUCCUGGGCAGGGCAAAUACCUGGGCUUUGAGUACUGAAUAAGGUGCGAUGCACAGUCCCUAAGAAUCAUGAUGACAUCCUUAGAGUGUUAUCUUAAGGUAGCCCUGUUUAGUCCUUGCCUCUUAUCCACCCGCUACAAAGAGCAGUCAGUUUAAAAAAUGGCUUGGCUCACAGAUCAGGAACCCCUCAAGAGCAAAGACCUACCUCCCCCACUGCAGCCCAGCAACCUGUAGGGUUUUCCUGCAGUCGAACAAGUGUAGCUGGAAUUGCAUUCACCCACCUGUUCCUGAGUUCUCCUGGGACACAAUGUUGGAUUGGUGGGCACUAGUAUAUUCUUUUCACAAGUGCUGGAAUAUCACUAUUUCAAACAGCUUAAUGAUCAUUGUACAUGUGCCCUGAGCAAGGCUGCAUGAAUAACUAAAAUGUCAAAUGUCUUUGUUUUAGCUGCGAUUCUAUCAACUCUGCAGGUCUCAUAAGCAUGAGCCACAUGCCAAUUAGAAUCUCUGAUGGUCAAGUAUAAAUGUCUUUGUUUCAUAAAAAUGAAAGAAUGAGUUCAUUAUCACUUAACUCCCUCUAGAAGAAAUAAUCUUUUAAAAACUUAAGAUCCAUAAGGAGGAAAGAUGGGUUGUUAAAGCAGGUCCUCCCUAAAGAUUGCUUCCUUGCCUGUGAAUAGAAUGAAUCCAAUGGCAUCAUUUCCUAGAACCAAGUUGAAUUUCCCACUGGAACCAGAAUUCCAGAAAGCCCUGGACAUCACUCUACAUGUCAAGGCUGCAGACACACACACAUCAAUUCUGAAAGAGGGAGGAUUCCAAGAGUGAUGGUGCCUGCAGGGCCUUCUGAGAUAAGAUGAGGAGUCUUUCUGGUUUCCAAGGGGAGGAACCCAAGCUACAGUCUCACUGGCACCAAAGAUUAGAGAGGUUAGUGAUUGAGGACCCAGGGAGGCAGCUGCUCUCUGAAGACUCUUCCCUAGUGGAGCUAUACCUCAGCUCAAAAAGGCAACCACAAAUCUUGUGUCCAGCACAGCUCCAAUUCAAGCAAAUUUCAUUCUCUUUCACCAAGGAAAGUCUAUACACAUACACAUGUAUAUACACACAUGUAUGUAUAUAUGUUUAUAUAUGUGUGCAUGCAUACAUACAUACAUAUGCAUGUGUAUAAAAUGGGAUUUGAAUUAUAGACUUAGACCUGUCUUUUCAUCAAAAUAAAUAAACAAACAUGAAUUUACCCAUCAGAAAACUUCAGUUGUCAGGACCUGUGUCUGAUAUUUAGCUGGGGAAAUUUCCCCUGUCACUGGGGUGGUGGAUGUUGUCUCAGAGCUGAACACUGGGCUGGUGGGGUCAUCGGAGGAUGAUGAGGAUGAAUCAAGGCUGUUCUCCCACUUUCUCCAGGGCUGUGCCUGGGACCAUAUGUGUAUGUGUGGCUGAGAGGAGGCAUGGGUCCCAAGACAUGGGUCAUCAGAGACUGAAGCUCUCCAGGGCAGCCUGAGAGAUCUGGCAGGGCUCUGGGGGCGCCUCAGUUUUGUGAAUCACCGCCAUGUGGUGCCUUUGGAGUCAGCCAGCUCUGCCUCCUAACCCCAUCCCCUCACUCACCAGAUGUGUACCUGGGUCUCAAUUUCCCCCAUCUGUCAUUGAGGACAGUCAUACCGACCUCAGGGAGGGAUCAGGUGAGAUAAAUGUGAUGAUGACCAAAAUGCAAGACAAUUACUGAUCAUGAGCAGAUGAAGUCUAGAAAGGGGGAAAUUGGUCCACAGAACACAGUGGGUCAAUGAGGGACUUAGAACGAAAACUCGAGUCUUGGGUUCCCAGGCCAGACCUCCUUUCACUGCACCAGGGAUUUCAAAGUGGGAUCCACAGAUGUACUGUCAGGGGCCCUUGAGUGAUAUGAGAGUCUUUUUUUAUUCUGAUAUUUUCAUUUUAAAAAUUGAAAAAUAUCAGUGAGACCCUAUUGGGGUUGUGUGUGGAUGAUCAUAUUAUCACCAACUAAUGCUUCAGGAAUGCAGAGUUCACAUUUGCAUUUGGGUUUACUAUCAUGUUUUUGCAAAAUGAAGGCCAAAUGACUUCAUGGACUGCUGUACAAACAAAGGUUUAGCAAUUGUUCAAACAGAGAUAAGUGGAGGGAGGAUUGAGUCAUCAAACAGAACAGGGGACACAGACAUGCCACAAAUAAGCUGCUCUGCAUUGAAGCUGGUAGAAUUGUAGUCACUGUUUUGCAAGCAGGUGCCUGAGUGAAUGCCACCUUGGUUUGCAACAACUUGCAAGACAACACUAGCAGCUGGAAAUGGUAAAUGGUAUAUAGUCUUACUAAAUGGUACAUAUUUCUAUAUAUUUUAAAUUAUUAUAUUUUGAAGUGCUCUAUUAAGUUGAUCGCUUCAUCAAAAUUCUAGGUCUGUGUUUAGAAGUGUGUUCAUUGUAAUACAUGAAAAAUAUAAUAAUAUUGAUAAUAACUCUAAUGAUGGUCUAGCAUGUCCAAACAUCAAAAUGAUCUAGUUGAUAACAAGCGGAACUUAAAUGGGAAUGUAUCCUUCUAUUAUUAAACCCAACGUUGGUUGUUUUACUUUCAGCAAAACAUCAUCUGUCACAUUAAAUUAAUGC
rnacentral:lncRNA from 1 species